rnacentral:rRNA from 1 species
GACGAACGCUGGCGGCGUGCCUAAUACAUGCAAGUAGAACGCAGUUGCGAACGGGUGAGUAACGCGUAGGUAACUGCCUGGUAGCGGGGGAUAACUAUUGGAAACGAUAGCUAAUACCGCAUACUACCAGAUGGACCUGCGUUGUAUUAGCUAGUUGGGGGGGUAACGGCUCACCAAGGCAACGAUACAUAGACGACCUGAGAGGGGGGUCGGGCACAAUGGGACGUGGAAACGGCCCAGACUCCGACGGGAGGCAGCAGUAGGGAAUCUUCGGAAAUGGGGGGAAACCUGACCGAGCAACGGCGCGGGAGGGAAGAAGGGUUUCGGAUCUGAAAGCUCUGUUGUUAAGGAAGCGGUACUUAACCAGAAAGGGACGGCUAACUACGUGCCAGCAGCCGCGGUAAUUC